UAAAUUCUCUCUUCCUAAUUCUCUCUUUCUUCUCUUCUUUUUUCUAUUCUUCUUAUCAAUCUUUGUUAGGGUUGCUAUCCUAAAAUUUGGUAUCAGAACCUUGAUUUGGGAGUGUUUCUUUGGGAUCGCAAGGAUAACAAGAUCUGCUGUUGUGAGUCAAGAAAGUGUGAGGCUAGUGGAAUUAGAGGAGCAGUUGAGAUCUGUUCAGCUGGAUUCUCGGGAUACAAGGAAAGAGAUAGAAGUAUUGAAAAAUUGGGCUCAGAUCUAAGAUGGAGGUGGUGAAAGCUUCAGUUAAUUAUGUGGAAGAUUUGAAAACUCUAAUUUGGGGCUUGAGGAAGGAUCUU
rnacentral:misc_RNA from 1 species